AGGGGGGGUGGGGGGGAGACACCUUUUUUUGUGCCAAAAACUGUGGACAUGCUGGUUCAGCAGCCUCAGGACCAAGCUGUUAAUUUAUUUUUUUCUUAUUAACAAAUCCAAAUGACAAGUUGUGGGCCUCCAGGGUGGCCUGGGCCCAAAGGUUAUGAAGGAAGGUUUCCUAGCAGCCCUUGGCCUGCUGUGCAAAGAUGCUACACCACCUUCAUUUGUUCUUCAUUCCAUGGGGUUUAUCUGCCUUCACCAACCCCACAUGGAAGGGCCAAGCCUGGGUCAGGUGCACGCUGCCACCCUCCUUCCCCUCCCUCCCACUUGCCCAGCUCUGUGUCUGAAUUGUGGAAUGUGCAGAAGAACCUGCAGCCAUAGUUAUUGACUAUAUCUUGACUGAGGGCUUGCAGUGCAAAGCCAGGCCAGUGCAUUACUUACAAUAAAAGGGAUCAUUUAUAUCAGAA
rnacentral:lncRNA from 1 species